rfam:Erythranthe guttata cultivar DTN x IM62 scaffold_21_contig_63, whole genome shotgun sequence.
GGGUGCGAUCAUACCAGCACUAAUGCACCGGAUCCCAUCAGACCUCCGAAGUUAAGCGUACUAAAUAAGGGAGGUCUCUAAAAUAAUCGCUACAA